GACGAACGCUGGCGGCGUGCUUAACACAUGCAAGUCGAACGAUGAAGCCGGAGCUUGCUCCGGCGGAUUAGUGGCGAACGGGUGAGUAACACGUGAGUAACCUGCCCUUGACUCUGGGAUAAGCGUUGGAAACGACGUCUAAUACCGGAUACGAACCGCGACGGCAUCGUCUGCGGUUGGAAAGAAUUUCGGUCAAGGAUGGACUCGCGGCCUAUCAGCUUGUUGGUGAGGUAAUGGCUCACCAAGGCGACGACGGAUAGCCGGCCUGAGAGGGUGACCGGCCACACUGGAACUGAGACACGGUCCAGACUCCUACGGGAGGCAGCAGUGGGGAAUAUUGCACAAUGGGCGAAAGCCUGAUGCAGCAACGCCGCGUGAGGGAUGACGGCCUUCGGGUUGUAAACCUCUUUUAGCAGGGAAGAAGCGAAAGUGACGGUACCUGCAGAAAAAGCACCGGCUAACUACGUGCCAGCAGCCGCGGUAA
rnacentral:rRNA from 1 species